AUUGAACGCUGGCGGUAUGCUUAACACAUGCAAGUCGAACGGUAACAGGCAAAGCUUGCUUUGCGCUGACGAGUGGCGGACGGGUGAGUAACGCGUGGGAAUCUGCCUUAUAGUGGGGGAUAGCCCGGAGAAAUCCGGAUUAAUACCGCAUAAGCCCUAAGGGGGAAAGCCGGGGAUCUUCGGACCUGGCGCUAUUAGAUGAGCCCGCGUUAGAUUAGCUAGUUGGUGGGGUAAAGGCCUACCAAGGCGACGAUCUAUAGCUGGUCUGAGAGGACGAUCAGCCACACUGGGACUGAGACACGGCCCAGACUCCUACGGGAGGCAGCAGUGGGGAAUAUUGCACAAUGGGCGCAAGCCUGAUGCAGCAAUACCGCGUGUGUGAAGAAGGCCUGCGGGUUGUAAAGCACUUUCAAUCGUGAAGAAAUGUUC
rnacentral:rRNA from 1 species